rnacentral:rRNA from 1 species
CAAUAGCGUAUAUUAAAGCUGUUGCGGUUAAAAAGCUCGUAGUUGGAUUUCUGUCAAGGACAACUGGUCCGCCCUCCGGGUGAGCACAUAGUUUGGUCUUGGCAUCUUGCUGGAAGCUGUUGCUGCACUGGGCUGUGUGGCGCAGCGUCCAGCACUUUCACUUUGAGGAAAUUGGAGUGUUUCAAGCAGGCACAUGCCUUUGGACACAGUAGCAUGGAAUAAUUAGAUUGGGCUUUUGCUCCAAUUUGUCGGUUUCUGGAGCUGAGGUGAGAAUUAAUGGGGAUUGUUGGGGGCAUCCGAAUUUAGCCGUCAGAGGUGAAAUUCUUGGAUCUGCUAAAGACGGACAACUGCGAAAGCGUUUGCCCAGGAUGUUUUCAUUGA